rnacentral:rRNA from 5 species
AAUCCACACGACUCUCGGCAACGGAUAUCUCGGCUCUCGCAUCGAUGAAGAACGUAGCGAAAUGCGAUACCUGGUGUGAAUUGCAGAAUCCCGCGAACCAUCGAGUCUUUGAACGCAAGUUGCGCCCGAGGUCUUUUGGCUGAGGGCACGCCUGCCUGGGCGUCACGC